UACGAAGGGGACUAGCGUUGUUCGGAAUUACUGGGCGUAAAGCGUGCGCAGGCGGCUAUGCAAGACAGAUGUGAAAUCCCCGGGCUCAACCUGGGAACUGCAUUUGUGACUGCAUGGCUAGAGUACGGUAGAGGGGGAUGGAAUUCCGCGUGUAGCAGUGAAAUGCGUAGAUAUGCGGAGGAACACCGAUGGCGAAGGCAAUCCCCUGGACCUGUACUGACGCUCAUGCACGAAAGCGUGGGGAGCAAACAGG
rnacentral:rRNA from 1 species